GCCUGGGUGGCUCAGUCGGUUGAGCGUCCGACUUCGGCUCAGGUCAUGAUCUCGCAGUUCGUGAGUUCAAGCCCCGCGUCAGGCU
rnacentral:tRNA from 1 species